rnacentral:rRNA from 1 species
UACGUAGGUGACCAGCGUUGUCCGGAUUUACUGGGCGUAAAGAGCGCGCAGGCGGUCGUUCAAGUCGAGUGUGAAAGCCCCCGGCUCAACUGGGGAGGGUCACUUGAUACUGAUCGACUCGAAGGCAGGAGAGGGAAGCGGAAUUCCCGGUGUAGUGGUGAAAUGCGUAGAUAUCGGGAGGAACACCAGUGGCGAAGGCGGCUUCCUGGCCUGUUCUUGACGCUGAGGCGCGAAAGCGUGGGGAGCAAACGGG